GACGAACGCUGGCGGCGUGCUUAACACAUGCAAGUCGAACGGAAAGGCCCUGCUUUUGUGGGGUGCUCGAGUGGCGAACGGGUGAGUAACACGUGAGUAACCUGCCCUUGACUUUGGGAUAACUUCAGGAAACUGGGGCUAAUACCGGAUAGGAGCUCCUGCUGCAUGGUGGGGGUUGGAAAGUUUCGGCGGUUGGGGAUGGGCUCGCGGCUUAUCAGCUUGUUGGUGGGGUAGUGGCUUACCAAGGCUUUGACGGGUAGCCGGCCUGAGAGGGUGACCGGCCACAUUGGGACUGAGAUACGGCCCAGACUCUUACGGGAGGCAGCAGUGGGGAAUAUUGCACAAUGGGCGGAAGCCUGAUGCAGCAACGCCGCGUGCGGGAUGACGGCCUUCGGGUUGUAAACCGCUUUCGCCUGUGACGAAGCGUGAGUGACGGUAAUGGGUAAAGAAGCACCGGCUAACUACGUGCCAGCGGCCGCGGUGAUACGUAGGGUGCGAGCGUUGUCCGGAUUUAUUGGGCGUAAAGGGCUCGUAGGUGGUUGAUCGCGUCGGAAGUGUAAUCUUGGGGCUUAACCCUGAGCGUGCUUUCGAUACGGGUUGACUUGAGGAAGGUAGGGGAGAAUGGAAUUCCUGGUGGAGCGGUGGAAUGCGCAGAUAUCAGGAGGAACACCAGUGGCGAAGGCGGUUCUCUGGGCCUUUCCUGACGCUGAGGAGCGAAAGCGUGGGGAGCGAACAGGCUUAGAUUCCCUGGUAGUCCACGCUGUAAACGGUGGGUACUAGGUGUGGGGUCCAUUCCACGGGUUCCGUGCCGUAGCUAACGCUUUAAGUACCCCGCCUGGGGAGUGCGGCCGCAAGGCUAAAACUCAAAGGAAUUGACGGGGCCCCGCACAAGCGGCGGAGCAUGCGGAUUAAUUCGAUGCAACGCGUAGAACCUUACCUGGGUUUGACAUGGAUCGGGAGUGCUCAGAGAUGGGUGUGCCUCUUUUGGGGUCGGUUCACAGGUGGUGCAUGGCUGUCGUCAGCUCGUGUCGUGAGAUGUUGGGUUAAGUCCCGCAACGAGCGCAACCCUUGUUCACUGUUGCCAGCACGUUAUGGUGGGGACUCAGUGGAGACCGCCGGGGUCAACUCGGAGGAAGGUGGGGAUGACGUCAAGUCAUCAUGCCCCUUAUGUCCAGGGCUUCACGCAUGCUACAAUGGCUGGUACAGAGAGUGGCGAGCCUGUGAGGGUGAGCGAAUCUCGGAAAGUCGGUCUCAGUUCGGAUUGGGGUCUGCAACUCGACCUCAUGAAGUCGGAGUCGCUAGUAAUCGCAGAUCAGCAACGCUGCGGUGAAUACGUUCCCGGGGCU
rnacentral:rRNA from 1 species